GCUGCUGGGCCUUUGCAACAACUUCUCUUAUGUGGUGAUGCUGAGUGCCGCCCACGACAUCCUUAGCCACAAGAGGACAUCGGGAAACCAGAGCCAUGUGGACCCAGGCCCAACGCUGAUGCCCCACAACAGCUCAUCACGAUUUGACUGCAACUCUGUCUCUACGGCUGCUGUGCUCCUGGCGGACAUCCUCCCCACACUCGUCAUCAAAUUGUUGGCUCCUCUUGGCCUUCACCUGCUGCCCUACAGCCCCCGGGUUCUCGUCAGUGGGAUUUGUGCUGCUGGAAGCUUCGUCCUGGUUGCCUUUUCUCAUUCUGUGGGGACCAGCCUGUGUG
rnacentral:sRNA from 1 species